UACGCACGCUGGCGGCGUGCUUAACACAUGCAAGUCGAACGGAAAGGCCCUUCUGCGGUGGGGUGCUCGAGUAGCGAACGGGUGAGUAACACGUGAGUAACCUGCCCUUGACUGUGGGAUAACGGCAGGAAACUGUGGCUAAUACCGGGUAGGAGUUCCGGCUGCAUGGUGGGGGUUGGAAAGGUUGGGCGGUUGGGGAUGGACGCGCUGGUUCUCAGCUUGUGGGUGGGGUAGUGGCUUACAAAGGCUUUGACGGGUAGCCGGCCGGAGAGGGUGACCGGCAAAAUUGGGACUGAGAACCGGCCAGGCUUCCUCCGGGAGGCAGCAGUGGGGAAUAUUGCACAAUGGGCGGAAGCCUGAUGCAGCAACGCGGCGUGCGGGAUGACGGCCUUCGGUUUGUAAACCGUUUUCGCAUGUGCGGAAGUGUGAGUGACGGUAAUGGGUAAAGAAGCACCGGCUAACUACGUG
rnacentral:rRNA from 1 species